rnacentral:rRNA from 1 species
UACAGAGGUCCCAAGCGUUGUUCGGAUUCAUUGGGCGUAAAGGGUGCGUAGGUGGCGUCGUAAGUCAGACGUGAAAUCCCUCGGCUUAACCGGGGAACUGCGUCUGAUACUGGAUGGCUUGAGUUCGGGAGAGGGAUGCGGAAUUCCAGGUGUAGCGGUGAAAUGCGUAGAUAUCUGGAGGAACACCGGUGGCGAAGGCGGCAUCCUGGACCGACACUGACGCUGAGGAGCGAAAGCCAGGGGAGCAAACGGG